GAUGAACGCUGGCGGCGUGCUUAACACAUGCAAGUCGAACGAUGAAGCCCAGCUUGCUGGGUGGAUUAGUGGCGAACGGGUGAGUAACACGUGAGUAACCUGCCCUUAACUCUGGGAUAAGCCUGGGAAACUGGGUCUAAUACCGGAUAGGAGCGUCCACCGCAUGGUGGGUGUUGGAAAGAUUUAUCGGUUUUGGAUGGACUCGCGGCCUAUCAGCUUGUUGGUGAGGUAAUGGCUCACAAAGGCGACGACGGGUAGCCGGCCUGGGAGGGUGACCGGCCCCACUGGGACUGAGACACGGCCCAGACUCCUACGGGAGGCAGAAGUGGGGAAUAUUGCACAAUGGGCGCAAUCCUGAUGCAGCGACGCCGCGUGAGGGAUGACGGCCUUCGGGUUGUAAACCUCUUUCAGUAGGGAAGAAGCGAAAGUGACGGUACCUGCAGAAGAAGCACCGGCUAACUACGUG
rnacentral:rRNA from 1 species